GUGCUCACUUCAGCAGCACAUACACUAAAAUUGGAAUGAUACAGAGAAGAUUAGCAUGGCCCCUGCACAAGGAUGACAUGCAAAUUCGUGAAUCAUUCCAUAUUUUU
rnacentral:snRNA from 1 species